rnacentral:lncRNA from 1 species
ACUCCUUUCGUGUACAAAUUUUCCACUGUAUCACAGAAUCUCACCAAGCACUCUAGGAUAGUAGAUUUUCUCAUCCUUGCAAUCUCAUCCACCUGCUCUGCGGAUGCCCCAUAAGCAAGCAUCCGCAAAGCAGCUAUAAGUUUUUGCUCCGGGAUAAGACCCAAAACUCCAACAGCAUCAUGCUUUUGAAUGAAGUAUGUGUCGUAAUUACAAAUAUCAUGCAUGAUUUUUUGGAACAAAUGUGGCUGCAUUCUA